rfam:Xiphophorus maculatus strain JP 163 A Contig242.44, whole genome shotgun sequence.
CCCAGCUCUAAGUCAGCUGGCCAGGCCCUGGCUGCCUGGUUCAGUGUUACAGGGCUGGCAGAGAAAGCCUCUGUUCUCCGCCUCAGCAGCGCCCCCUCUGUUCUGGAGGCUGAUGCUGCUGAGCUGCAGCAGAGCGUGGCCCAAAGAGAGUGGCCGGUCCUGGUGGGACUGCAGGGCGGGCCUAGUGGAGGGCUUCACACU